rnacentral:rRNA from 1 species
ACUCAAAUGAAUUGACGGGGACCCGCACAAGCGGUGGAGCAUGUGGAUUAAUUCGAUACUAACCGAAGAACCUUACCCAGGUUUGACAUCGAUUGUAAGCCAUUGAAAGGUGGCCCUCUCUCACAAGGAGACAUGAAGACACUUGUUGCAUGGCUGUCGUCAGCUCGUGCCGUGAGGUGUACGGUUAAGUCCGCCAACGAGCGCAACCCUCGUUCUGUGUUACCAACAUUAAUGGUGGGGACUCACAGGAGACCGCCGGUGUAAGCCGGAGGAAGGUGGGGAUGAUGUCAAGUCAGCAUGGCAGUUACGCCUGGGGCUUCACACAUGCUACAAUGGGCGCAACAAAGGGCUGCAAUACCGCGAGGUGGAGCUAAUCCCAAAAAUACGUCCUCAGUUCAGAUUGCAGUCUGCAACUCGACUGCAUGAAGUCGGAAUCGCUAGUAAACGCAGGUCAGCUAUACUGCGUUGAAUACGUUCCCGGGUCUUGUACACACCGCCCGU